rnacentral:sRNA from 1 species
UAUCGCUGCCCACCUUGGGUAUGACCUCCCUUGACCUUGGCCGCUUGUGGCAACGCAGGCGGCCUUUCUUUUGUGCGCC